GACGAACGCUGGCGGCGUGCCUAAUACAUGCAAGUCGAACGAGAGCGACCGGUGCUUGCACUGGUCAAUCUAGUGGCGAACGGGUGAGUAACACGUGGGUAACCUGCCCAUCAGAGGGGGAUAACAUCCGGAAACGGAUGCUAAAACCGCAUAGGUCUUCGAGCCGCAUGGCUUGAAGAGGAAAAGAGGCGCAAGCUUCUGCUGAUGGAUGGACCCGCGGUGCAUUAGCUAGUUGGUGAGGUAACGGCUCACCAAGGCCGUGAUGCAUAGCCGACCUGAGAGGGUGAUCGGCCACAUUGGGACUGAGACACGGCCCAAACUCCUACGGGAGGCAGCAGUAGGGAAUCUUCCGCAAUGGACGCAAGUCUGACGGAGCAACGCCGCGUGAGUGAAGAAGGUUUUCGGAUCGUAAAACUCUGUUGUUAGAGAAGAACAAGUGCUAGAGUAACUGUUAGCGCCUUGACGGUAUCUAACUAGAAAGCCACGGCUAACUACGUG
rnacentral:rRNA from 1 species